GAUGAACGCUGGCGGCGUGCUUAACACAUGCAAGUCGAACGGUGAAGGUGGGAGCUUGCUCCUGCCGGAUCAGUGGCGAACGGGUGAGUAACACGUGAGCAAUCUGCCCCGAACUCUGGGAUAAGCGCUGUAAAUGGCGUCUAAUACCGGAUACGACGCGCGACGGCAUCGUCUGCGCGUGGAAAGAACUUCGGUUCGGGAUGAGCGCGCGGCCUAUCAGCUUGGUGGUGGGGUAAUGGCUCACCAAGGCGACGACGGGUAGCCGGCCUGAGAGGGUGACCGGCCACACUGGGACUGAGACACGGCCCAGACUCCUACGGGAGGCAGCAGUAGGGAAUAUUGCACAAUGGGCGCAAGCCUGAGGCAGCAACGCCGCGUGAGGGACGACGGCCUUCGGGUUGUAACCCUCUUUUAGUAGGGAAGAAGCGAAAGUGACGGUACCUGCAGAAAAAGCACCGGCUAACUACGUGCCAGCAGCCGCAGUAAUAC
rnacentral:rRNA from 1 species